GGGCGAAUGGUUUAGUGGUAUAAUACUCCCUUAGCAUCUACCCUGUAGAUCCAACGAUUGGGAGUGGUCCGGGGUUCGAUUCCCCGUUUGUCCA
rnacentral:tRNA from 1 species